rnacentral:lncRNA from 1 species
UUCAAAAUACUUUCUCCCCUUCAGGUUCCUCUUCCUUAGCUUCUCCUCAGGGUCCUGAAAUGGUUAUUCAAUAACCAAUGAGACCACGUCUCAGCGAGUCCUACCCCCUACGACUCGAUUAGUAAACUAAUACACCAUACGGUUGCCUAAACACAACACGAGUCAGAGGACUUACCUUAGCCUCAGUUCCAACCUGCAAUUCAAGGUUAAACAUAGAUAUUCAAACAAUUCACGACAUCCGAUCAAGCAUUGAUCAAUCGACUUAGUCGAUUACAUGUCAAUCUGACCAUCUCUAGGUCAUUCCCACUCAUACCACGCUUUCUCAGUGGUGUACUCAUUCACCAAAUCACAUGUGUUUCUCGGGCGUCGUUUUCGCCAAUGACAUACCGAUCACCGACACCGUGCGUUCUUUAAGGCGCCGUUUUCACCAGUGAUAACCUUGAUCACCGAACCACGUGUCCUUUCAAGGGCGCCGUUUUCGCCAAGGUGACAUCGGCUAUAGACAACAUCGUGCGUUCUUUAAGGCGCCGUUUUCACCAGUGAUAUUCCCAUAAUCACCGAACCACGUUGUCUAUAAGUCAUUUACGUGCAUUCUUAAGGCGUUUCGCCAGUGAUACUUCCAAUCACCGAACCACGUAUGUCCAAUCAUAUCGUACUGAUUGGUCUCACCAUUCUCCCCUAACUAUAUAGCCCAUCAACGUACUGGCGCUAUAUAUCCAUGCUUUAGCCAUUACCAAUCAAAUACUCAAUAACAAACAAUUUAGGACAAUUCCUAAAAUUCCACAAUAAAUUCAAUUCCACACAACGUAGAGCUCAAAUAAAUAAACGGUCUGCACCACGACAAUCGGCACGAAAUUCCGGUCACCGGCCAUCCCGGUUGAAUUUCCGGAAAAAUAAUUAAUUAAAUAAAUAAAUUUCGAAAAUAAAUAAAUAAACAUUGAAAAUCCAAUUUAGGCCCAUAUUGCCUUAUUGGAGCCCGAAACGGGUCGGGAAAAAUCCCGAGAUACAUUCAAUAAAUAACCAAACAUUUCUACUUGCUAAUAGCUAGGUCUAACCACCUAACAUGCAUCAUUAAGUCACUAAAUUAAUUGUUCUAACCUAAUCUAACCACCUAAUUGCACUUAAUUAAAUCUAACCAACCUUAAGCAUAAUUAGCAAACUAAUAAAGCAUUAGUGAGUAAAACUCACUUGAUCAAAAGCGGAGAUCGAAUCACCGCAACGGCGACGCGACGGCGGCCGAAAUAGGACUUUCGACGACACCGGCGAACUCGGACCGGGCCUUAAGCUUAGGCCCAACAAAUCUCAGUCCAAUUGAGAUUUGUUCUUGCACUGGAAUGGGCCUGCUCUUGGACUUGGGCCUAGCUGCGACUGGGCUUCAAAAACUGGGCUUGAAAUAAAACUGAAUUGGGCUUGUCCUUGCUGGGCCCAAAAGACUGAAAUUACUGGGCUUCUAAUCCAAUUUAUGCUGGGCUAGAAAUGCCUCUGCAGAUGGGCUGAAGCAAGCUCAACUGGAGAUGGGCUUUGCUGGGCGUGGAACCUGGUCUUGGGCUGCAAAUACACGGACGACUGGGCUUGGAAUUCGCUGGGCUG